GUAGUCCACGUUUCAGCAGUACAUAUACCAAAACUGAAAUGAUACAGAGAAGAUUAGUAUGGCCCUUGCACAAGGAUGACACACAAAUUCGUGAAGCAUUCCAAAUUUUU
rfam:Homo sapiens chromosome 14, GRCh38 reference primary assembly.